CUCCGCAUGCGCGCAGUACACAAAAUGUCGAGAGGACCGGCAGAGUUUCAAAAUAACAAAAAAGGAAAAGGGUCUGAAGCAAAAGUUUGGGCACCUUGCAUGUUAGACCUGCGGUGAGAGAUUUAUUGGAAGAAAAACCCCAACUGGAAGGAAACCACGACUGUAGACGAGGGAACAGCAACAAAGUGAACCUGCCCGAGGAUUGAGAGCAUCAACUGGAGAGAACCCAUCUGACUCGGAGAUUCCAGUGAGUCAGGCAGGAGAAAGUUUGGUGAGUCUCGCUUACUCAAACACUGGUCCUUUAGACAUUACAUACCUGUAAAAGGAAGGUAGGGAAUAGUUGGA